UGCAUCAAGAAACAUUCUUUGAUCAUUGUCAUCAGCGUGAUCAAUUUUAAGCCAGGAUAGUAGGAUGGAAUAAUGAGAUUCUCUAUUUUUAUUAACCUCAAAAUAUAAGUAAAACUUGAAAGACAUUGAUUAAGUAAUUUUGUUAUUUAGCGUUUGCCAGCGAUUUAAGAUUAUUUCUAUUUUUCGUUUUUUUUUUUACUUUUCUAAGUUCCUUCUCAAGAAAUUUUCUUCUUUUUUGUGUGAAACAACCCUGAAAACGUGGUUGAUUUUUGGACCCGUUAAAGUUUCCACGUAAUCAUCUCAGAGGACUAAAUACGAGGUAGCAAAGCUUAGGUACUAGUAUUUUUUAAGUCUGCCUUUAACUUUACAAACAUAAAUUGAUAAUUUGUGUCAAGAGAGAGAAAUGGGCACCAAUUAAAGAUUAAUGUGGUCUUUGGAACGACCGCACGGAAUGUGUCAUAUUGACAGAGUGCUGAUUUAAAAUUAAUGUUUUCUUUCAACAUGGCUGCAAAAUAAGUGGGAGAAUGAUUGAAAGUUUGGGGAUUUUUGUUGGUGUAGUUGCAGCUCUAUCUGCAGUUAUUCUUAGAGUCACUUGCAUAAAACCUCCAGAUAUAUUACAACAAAACGAAUCUGAACAUUUCAGUCAAUCACCACAAGAGUUUUGAAAGUAUUUCAUCUCAAUCAUUUGCAAGGAGACGAAAGUUGUAAUUUUGAAAAAGAAAUAGUUGGGGACAAUUCUUGUUAACGUAAAGUAAAGGUCAAUCCUCUUGGAAGAAAAGUUACUUCCCGCAGCGUGAUCAUUCCCAAUACAUACGCACAUUAUCUCAUCGAUCCAGUAAAACAAGAUGAAUUUGUAGCAAGUGCGACGUUCUUUCAAGUAGUUUAAAUAUGCCAAAUUUUCUGGAAUUUCUUGGACUCAUAGCUAUACCAAUUUUAUUACUUUAUGGAGUUUUCAAGAUGUUUACAAUAGCUGUGCUAAUUCUUUAGGCAACGUUUUUUCAAAAAAUGUACAAGCUGAAUGAAAAAGUAAAAUAAAAUAUGUUU